rnacentral:rRNA from 1 species
UACGGAGGGUGCAAGCGUUGCUCGGAAUUAUUGGGCGUAAAGGGUAGGUAGGUGGUCUCAUUUGUCUGGGGUGAAAGCCUUGAGCUUAACUCAAGAAGUGCCCCAGAAACGGUGAGACUAGAGUUCUGGAGAGGGUCGUGGAAUUCCCGGUGUAGCGGUGAAAUGCGUAGAGAUCGGGAGGAACACCAGAGGCGAAGGCGGCGACCUGGACAGAUACUGACACUCAACUACGAAAGCGUGGGUAGCAACAGG